GGUGGUAGAUUUUUGUUCAAGUGUCGGUGGAAUUGCAUUAUAAAUAGAGUGUUUGUGCACAUAUGGUACUAACUGAAAGAAAGCAGAGAUAGAAAAUUAGAGAAUGAGAAAUAUAGUGAGGAAGUCGAGAGUCUCAGAGAAGGCAAAACUUGAUGAAUUUGAUGAUCCAGUGUGGAAUAAUGGUUAUGGUUUUACAGUGUAGGGAUCAUCAUACCUUGAAUGGCUUGGAUAAUUUUAUUUCAAAAAUUUUGUUAAUUGUUAUUUUGCUAAAAUUGCAUAUAUGUAUUUUGUUUAAAAGCAUAUAUAUAUUUUUGUAAAGCAAAUUUAUCAUGAAACUCUUUGAAAUCCUUAUUAUGGUUUUUCCUACUGUUUCACCCCCUACAGUUUCAGGUACCGAGGAUGAACUUGGAUUCAUAGUUGCGGGCUUAGGUGGAAGAGUUGGAGUUGAGGAAUUAAAUUAUUUUUUUUAGAGAUUUUUAGGAAAUUGAUUUAGCAUCAAUUUAAUUAAUUUGAGAUGUUGUCUUAUUUAUUUGAGGAAAUUUGAUUGAUUUUGUAUCAAUAAAAUGUAUUUUAUUUCGAUCCUGAGUGUCUUUUAUGAAGUAUUUUGAUUUAAUGAAAUCGAGGAUUUUAUUUAGAAAAAAUUCGGGGCGUUACAGAAUGGUAUUAGAGCCUGUACCUAGCCGGAAGUGUGAGUUUAGUGGUGAUGUUGUCCGGUGUGUGUGGGCGAGUGUUUAGUAUUGACUAGCUACCACUUGUAGCCGGGUGUGUGCGUCCGGAUGUCAUUCACUGACAGUUAUUAGGAUAAUUACUAUCAGUGAUUAGGGGCAGGUGUCCCUAGAUCACUAUCGGUUUUAUUUUGUGGAUGGGUGACGGCAUCAUCUAGUUACCACAACGGCUACAGAGUGUGUGGGCAGGUAACUAGCACUGUCAGCUACCACAAUCUUUUUUCAUGUCACUGAAUUUCACAUCUCCUGGGGUAAGGAUUUUAGGAUUUUAUUUUACCACUUUUGAUGUUUUCGGGUAUGCAAAGUCUGUUGGAUCUGAAUUUUGGGGCGAAAUUCUUUUUAAGUGGUGGAGAAUGUGACAACUCGGAUUUUUAAGAGUUGAAAUUAUAUUUUAUUUCAUGAUUUUUUUUUUUAAAUUGUCAUAAUUGAUAAUUAAUUUUUAUUUUGGAGAAUUACUCAAUUUAAAUAUUUAUUGAGUUUGAUUUAUUAGGCAUCCACUUGUAUAUAUAUAUGUGUGAUAUAUAUAUAUUAAGUACAGGAAGCAUGGGUGGCGGGUCAAUUGUGAUUAUUAUGUUAGACUUUAGAUAUUUGAUUUGAUUUUUGGUGGUAGAUUUUUGUUCAAGUGUCGGUGGAAUUGCAUUAUAAAUAGAAUGUUUGUGCAAAGAUGGUAUUAACUGAAAGAAAGUAGAGAUAGAAAAUUAGAGAAUGAGAAAUACAGUGAGGAAGUCGAGAGUCUCAGAGAAGGCAAAACUUGAUGAAUUUAAUGAUCCAGUGUGGAAUAAUGGUUUUACAGUUUUCAGGUACCGAGGAUGAAGUUGGAUUCAUAGUUGCGGGCUUAGGUGGAAAAGUUGGAGUUGAGGAAUUAAAUUAUUUUUUUUGGAGAUUUUUAUGAAAUUGAUUUAGUAUCAAUUUAAUUAAUUUGAGAUAUUGUCUUAUUUAUUUGAGGAAAUUUGAUUGAUUUUGUAUCAAUAAAGGGUAUUUUAUUUCUUUUGA